AAGGAUUUAAGUUAAAAAGUAAACUAGUAACCUUCAAAGUUACCAAUAGAAGUAUUUAAGCCUUA
rnacentral:tRNA from 1 species